AACGAACGCUGGCGGCAGGCCUAACACAUGCAAGUCGAACGAGAUCUUCGGAUCUAGUGGCGGACGGGUGAGUAACGCGUGGGAACGUGCCCUUCUCUACGGAAUAGUCCUGGGAAACUGGGUUUAAUACCGUAUACGCCCUUCGGGGGAAAGAAUUUCGGGGAAGGAUCGGCCCGCGUUGGAUUAGGUAGUUGGUGGGGUAAUGGCCUACCAAGCCGACGAUCCAUAGCUGGUUUGAGAGGAUGAUCAGCCACACUGGGACUGAGACACGGCCCAGACUCCUACGGGAGGCAGCAGUGGGGAAUAUUGCACAAUGGGCGCAAGCCUGAUGCAGCAACGCCGCGUGAGCGAAGAAGGUCUUCGGAUCGUAAAGCUCUUUUCUUAGGGAAGAAAAUGACGGUACCUAAGGAAUAAGCACCGGCUAAAUACGUGCCAGCAGCCGCGGUAAU
rnacentral:rRNA from 1 species